GUGGCCAGCACUGACCGGCCCUCAGUCCGCUUCUCCUCAGCCAGCAUGGCAGUGGUCAGGGGCUUCACUGGGUGGGGACUGCACAGGACGACAAGAAGCAUACAAGAAGCAUACACGUACAGUCAGAUACCUGCUGUAACCAGAGACUGAGACCAGGAGCUGAAGAGGGAUGUGUACAGAGCUGGAGGAAAUUUCUGGCAGCCAUGCUGGUACACAGGAAGUGAAAGUGGCAGCGGGGGCCUGUUCAGACUCAUCCUUGGACUGACUCUGCCCUUUCCCCGCAGACUCACUCCUCCCAUGGUAGAAAAAGUUCCUCCUCUGCUUCUUCCCCUGGUGUUCCGACUCCGCCGUGGAGGAGGAGGUGG